GUCCUCUUGAUAAUAUUUUGAGGUCUAGCCUGCUCACUGAUUAGGUUUUGAAGAGCCGCGGUAUUUUGACCGUGCAAAGGUAGCAUAAUCAUUAGUCUCUUAAUUAGGGGCUGGUAUGAAUGGCUUGACGAGAAAUCAGCUGUCUCUUAAUAAUUUUUAAAAUUUAACUUUUGAGUCAAAAGGCUUAAAUUUUUCUUUAGGACGAGAAGACCCUAUAGAGCUUAACAUUUUAUUUUUAUAUGGUUUUUAGUUAAUCUUUCCAUAUUUAAUAAAAAUGUUUUGUUGGGGUGACAUGAAGAAUAAAUAAACUCUUCAUUAUUAAAUCAUUGAUUUAUGUUUAUCAUGAUCCAUAUUUUAUGAUCAUAAGAUUAAGUUACCUUAGGGAUAACAGCGUAAUUGUUUUUGAGAGCUCAUAUCGACAAAGCAGAUUGCGACCUCGAUGUUGGAUUAAGAAAAAUUUUGGGUGCAGUAGCCCAAUGAUUAGGUCUGUUCGACCUUUAAAUUCUUACA
rnacentral:rRNA from 2 species